UACGUAGGGACCAAGCGUUGUUCGGAUUUACUGGGCGUAAAGGGCGCGUAGGCGGCUUAACAAGUCACUUGUGAAAUCUCCGGGCUUAACUCGGAACGGCCAAGUGAAACUGUCAAGCUAGAGUGCAGAAGGGGCAAUCGGAAUUCUCGGUGUAGCGGUGAAAUGCGCAGAUAUCAGGAGGAACACCGGUGGCGAAGGCGGGUCUCUGGGCCGAUACUGACGCUGAGGAGCGAAAGCGUGGGGAGCAAACAGG
rnacentral:rRNA from 1 species